GAUGAAGAACGUAGUGAAAUGCGAUAAGUAAUGUGAAUUGCAGAAUUCAGUGAAUCAUCGAAUCUUUGAACGCACAUUGCGCCCGCCAGUAUUCUGGCGGGCAUGCCUGUUCGAGCGUCAUUUCAACCAUCAAGCCCCAGGCUUGUGUUGGGGACCUGCGGCUGCCGCAGGCCCUGAAAACCAGUGGCGGGCUCGCUGUCACACCGGGCGUAGUAGAUUUUAUCUCGCUCAGGGCGUGCUGCGGGUUCCGGCCGUUAAAAAGCCUUUUUUACCCAAGGUUGACCUCGGAUCAGGUAGGAAGACCCGCUGAACUUAAGCAUAUCAAUAAGCGGGGA
rnacentral:misc_RNA from 1 species